rnacentral:lncRNA from 1 species
GGGGGGGGGGACACAUAGAUUUUGAGAAAAAUUCAAAAACAUGAAAAUACUGUUUUAAUGUAUAUUUUCAUCUUUCACUAAAAUAUGAUGAAGGUCAAAGAGGUUUGAAAUUUUUGUUGUCUCCGUUUUUCUAGAGAAUAGCGAUUUUAUAGUUGUUAGUCCACCAAUUUAGAGAGUAUUAUGAAGUUUUACUAAAUAAAUUAAAAAAAAAUUAAAACGAUGCUCAUAUACAGUGAAAGAGAGUU